rnacentral:rRNA from 1 species
UACAGAGGUCCCAAGCGUUGUUCGGAAUCAUUGGGCGUAAAGGGUGCGUAGGUGGCGAGGUAAGUCGGAUGUGAAAUCUCAGGGCUCAACCCUGAAACUGCAUUCGAUACUGCCUUGCUCGAGGACUGGAGAGGAGAUUGGAAUUCACGGUGUAGCAGUGAAAUGCGUAGAUAUCGUGAGGAAGACCAGUGGCGAAGGCGGAUCUCUGGACAGUUCCUGACACUGAGGCACGAAGGCCAGGGGAGCAAACGGG